AUAAUCUCAUGAGGGGAAACAUCACACAAACUUUAUACAAAUGUUAUGCAGAAGAUGAAGAAGACGAAGAAGAAGAUGAUGAUGAUGAUGAUGAAGAAGAAGAAGAAGAAGAAGAAGAAGAAGAAGAAGAAGAAAAAGGGGAGGAGGAAGAAGUUGUUAUUCUUACCCCUUUUCAAGGUACAUUCAUGACAGAUGAGGACAUAUUGCUCUGA
rnacentral:lncRNA from 11 species